rnacentral:lncRNA from 1 species
UGACUGAGCCAUCUGGGUGCUCCUAGCUAUGAUGUUUCUAAGACAGUAACAGACAAAUCUUCAGGAGUUUACAUAAGUCUACAAUUUCUAAUUUCCUAUGUCAGAACAACUCUGCAAUGAGAGCUACCUUGAAUUGUUAUAGAUCUCCACACCCCAAUAAUUAGAGAGCCAAUUAAGUAGAAUUUGCUGACUAAAAAAUUACACAAUAUAGGAAACAGGAGAUUAUACUGCAAUAUAGCAAAGCAAUAGUACUUAUUAUUCAAACUGCUUGAAUAAUAACCAGCCUUUGCCUGGUGAGUCCACUCAGGCUGAAGUUAAGAUAAAAAAACUUCCUGAAUCUAAGCACUAUGGUUGGCCUCUACUGGAGAAAGGCUUGGCUGCUAUAAUGGCUAAGCUUUUCUUUGAUUAGCAGUCAAGAAAAAUCAGUCUUACGGCAUCAAAAGAAAAAUAAGGACAGUUAUUGUCCAAAUAACAGUCACUGGUAUUCUCCAUCAUUACUGCUUUCUUAACCAUUUUUGGUUCUGGGCCCUCAGCUCUCCAUCAUCAUGUGCUGCAGAGGGAGUGCCUGUGCCCAGAGAUGAAUCUGUGUUACUUUACUAUUUGGUGCUGAUGAAGACCAGAAAAAAAUCAGAUAUACUUCCUCAAGGAGUUUAUAUAACAUGUGCUAUUUAACACUCAGAGAGAAGACUCUGGAAGGAGGAGAUGACUGCAAUUGACACAGUAGGAGAAAAAAAGAAAGACAGGUCAGUUGCUGUGGAAAGAAAAGCUCUUAGAAAAUUCCUGAGGUUUUCAAGGGGAAUUAGAAAGAGGUUUUGCUAUUCUGUUUUGUAAAAAUCUACAUAUUUUUCACUGUCCCUGGAAUUGGACUCUUGUUUUUUUGUGAUAGCAAAGAUACAUUCUAAUUGGUUUAAAGGAAGCUAAAAGACAGUGCAAGAAUGGCCCAGGAUACCCAGUCAUAUUCAGGAUAUACAUAAAUACACCAAGAAUACACCUACAUUAGGAAUGCUCUAUACUAUAGUUCUGCUGAUAACUUCCAAAUACACCUCAUGGCAGAUUAGAUUUGCGUUUAGAUCAAUACACAUUUAACAGAUACUUAAAAUGUUCAGACAAUGCUAGUUGCCAGGGCUAUAAAGAUGAAUAAAACAUAAUUUGUCAUUCUAAAUCUAGUGGGA